rnacentral:tRNA from 1 species
GGAGGGGUCAGCUCGGUGGUAGAGCGCGUGUUUAGCACGCAUGAGGUCCUGGGUUCAAUCCCCAGCACCUCCG